UGUACAAGUAAGGAUUAAAUAAAUCAAUCGCCUACGAAACAGCCAGCAUAUGAAAGCUUUUUGCAAGUCGUCGUUCUCAAAAUGAAACUUUUGUCCUGCCAAGAACUUUCUACUGUAUUGAAAUAAGACAUGUUUCCAGAAUGAAAGUGGAAUGUUUUUCAAACGAAAUUUCAUUUUGUCACUACAUGAUGGUCUGAAUUUGAACGACAGCUGACGACAGAUGGCAAUACCUGCUAACACGUAGAAGUGAAUAUAACGACAUGACUAUCAUCUUGCACCUUUUAUCAAGCGUAUUCUGGAAUUCGUAGCUUAUAAAAUUGAAUAACUUGGGACCUAUACAAGUGCAUCUUACUGAAUGAAGACUUUUCGUCCACCACAAGGACAACUGUUUUCUUGGUUCUGCGUACCUCGGCAAUUUACACUAAGGAUGUUGAAUGUGCGUAAUUAUCUGUCAAUGACAUCAAAACAUCAGGAAUUCAAGGGCAUGGUGUCUUUUAAAAUGUUUAGACCGAAGUGAUUGCAACAAAACUGGACGAUUCUGAAGUUUCAUCAAGCGUAACCUUGGAACCCGAAGUCUUUACAAAUUAUGGACAAAGAUUCAAAAGGUGCUAUGAUAUCGUAAACUUGUGAUUUAUACCAAGUUUAAAAUGUAUCGAUUAAAAUGAUAAAAAUUGGAUUAUCAAAAUCUGCACAUUAGAAAUGAUAUUUAAUAUAAUCAACAUUUUUGGCUGCUAAUAUAUUUUUGAAAUGAUUGCUUCCAUUGUAACUCCAAAUGAUGGAUAACAUUAUUUAGAACUCUUCUGAAAAAUGCAGAAAUUCGUUUACAAAUGUUUGAUGUUCAACGAAGUAUCUUUCGUGCAUCGCAGUUAUGCAUUCAAAAUAAAUGUUUGGCUCAUCAAUUAAUUUUUUAUCGAGAAAUUGUUCAGAAUUUUUUAUUCGGUUAUCAAUUCUGCCUGUAAACUCUGAGUUAAAAAUUCAUUCGAUGUGCAUGUGAGUCUUCUUAUAUGUGAAAUGGUUUAAAGUCCUACGUAUUGGUUCCCAUUAAUCGAACAAAUCUAUAUUAUAUUAACAUUCUAUAUUUUACUAGUGCCGUAUACUUACUGCUGACUUAAUGAAUAUCUAUCUUUAUGUAUCCAAACGGCCAAUUUUAUGAUAUGCUAUUACAUGAGCAAUUUAACAUUUCAAUCGAAGUGUAUUUCAAUUUAACAGUGUCUGAUUUGAAAUCAGCUCCCUUAGGUUAACUAUAAACUUAAUUUGUUGAAAUUUAGAGAAAAUAUAUUUGAUCUUGUAUUCACUUUUUGGUAAUUUUUUAAUAUCAAAUCAUAGAAACUAAAGAUGCAAUAAAACUAGAUUCGUGCAUCCAAAUAUCGCUUUCACAUUUAGAAAUCGUAUUUAGACUUGAUACAAAUUAAACUUAAUCCAUCUUCUAUUCAUAAUGCAUUCUUAUCGUAACCAACGGAGCUAUCAAAGUGCAUGCCCGGUUUUGACAGCUGUCAGUAUUUGUCCCGAUUAUGGGAAUGUUUUAAAUUUAUAAAUUGGUAAGUUAAGCAGAAUGUAGGAAGUUUUUGCAUGGAAUCUACAAAAUUAUGGCUGUUGAAUAAAUCGCAAAUCCUGCAUUACUAUUAGCCUGCUUUAACUCGAUAUCUCAUCAAAACUAGGAAUAUCGACCCUUGGUUUUUGAACAUUUUAUGUAAUCGAUUUGGGCAUAAAAUGUUCAUAGAAAUAUUUUUCGAACUUGGGCUGUAGGAUGCAUUUUAUCCUCAGAUUGAGAGGUGCAUUAUGUGAAUGGGAAAUAUUGCAUUGAUAUAUAUUGACAUGCGAUGGAUGGAGUUAAAUCAAUAUACUUAAGAGAUAGUUGUAUGUGAAACAGAAACCGUGCGAGAUCAUAGUAGGCAAGUACAAUGCUAGUCCCGACUCUAUUGUAAUGUGGUGCGAAAGCGCUGUGGAUUAAUUGCUCAUACUCAAAAGUUGUGGUGUGGGCCUGGUAGCAAAAAUGUCUGAUAAUCGCUUAUCGCGUAAUUGGAUAUUGUAUGCAAUUAUGAGUGAGAAAUGCAUGUGAAAGCCGAGGACUGGUUGUGUGGGGGUGCCGGCGUGAGAAAUGUGAAAUCGUGUUAGGUUUG